rnacentral:rRNA from 1 species
CCUACGGGUGGCUGCAGUGGGGAAUAUUGGACAAUGGGCGAAAGCCUGAUCCAGCCAUGCCGCGUGUGUGAAGAAGGCCUUCGGGUUGUAAAGCACUUUCAGUGGGGAAGAAAGCCUUGGGGCUAAUACCCUCGAGGAAGGACAUCACCCACAGAAGAAGCACCGGCUAACUCCGUGCCAGCAGCCGCGGUAAUACGGAGGGUGCGAGCGUUAAUCGGAAUUACUGGGCGUAAAGCGCGCGUAGGCGGUCUGAUAAGCCGGUUGUGAAAACCCCGGGCUCAACCUGGGAACGGCAUCCGGAACUGUCAGGCUAGAGUUCAGGAGAGGAAGGUAGAAUUCCCGGUGUAGCGGUGAAAUGCGUAGAGAUCGGGAGGAAUACCAGUGGCGAAGGCGGCCUUCUGGACUGUCACUGACGCUGAGGUGCGAAAGCGUGGGUAGCAAACAGGAUUAGAUACCCGAGUAGUC